UACGAAGGGGACUAGCGUUGUUCGGAAUCACUGGGCGUAAAGCGCACGUAGGCGGAUAUGUCAGUCAGGGGGUGAAAUCCCGGGGGCUCAACCUCGGAACUGCCUUUGAUACAGCAUAUCUUGAGUCCGAUAGAGGUGGGUGGAAUUCCUAGUGUAGAGGUGAAAAUUUCGUAGAUAUUAGGAAGAACACCGGUGGCGAAGGCGGCCCACUGGAUCGGUACUGACGCUGAGGUGCGAAAAGCGUGGGGGAGCAAAACAGG
rnacentral:rRNA from 1 species